rnacentral:rRNA from 1 species
UAGGGAAUCUUCCACAAUGGACGCAAGUCUGAUGGAGCAACGCCGCGUGAGUGAAGAAGGUUUUCGGACCGUAAAGCUCUGUUGUUGGUGAAGAAGGGUAGAGGUAGUAACUGGCCUUUAUUUGACGGUAAUCAACCAGAAAGUCACGGCUAACUACGUGCCAGCAGCCGCGGUAAUACGUAGGUGGCAAGCGUUGUCCGGAUUUAUUGGGCGUAAAGCGAGCGCAGGCGGAAGAAUAAGUCUGAUGUGAAAGCCCUCGGCUUAACCGAGGAAUUGCAUCGGAAACUGUUUUCUUGAGUGCAGAAGAGGAGAGUAGAACUCCAUGUGUAGCGGUGGAAUGCGUAGAUAUAUGGAAGAAUACCAGUGGCGAAGGCGGCUCUCUGGUCUGCAACUGACGCUGAGGCUCGAAAGCAUGGGUAGCGAACAGGAUUAGAUACCCUUGGUAGUCCAUGCCGUAAACGAUGAGUGCUAAGUGUUGGGAGGCUUCCGCCUCUCAGUGCUGCAGCUAACGCAUUAAGCACUCCGCCUGGGGGAGUACGACCGCAAGGUUGAAAC